UGGGGAAUAUUGGACAAUGGGCGAAAGCCUGAUCCAGCCAUGCCGCGUGUGUGAAGAAGGUCUUCGGAUUGUAAAGCACUUUAAGUUGGGAGGAAGGGCAGUAAGCGAAUACCUUGCUGUUUUGACGUUACCGACAGAAUAAGCACCGGCUAACUCUGUGCCAGCAGCCGCGGUAAUACAGAGGGUGCAAGCGUUAAUCGGAAUUACUGGGCGUAAAGCGCGCGUAGGUGGUCCGUUAAGUUGAAUGUGAAAGCCCCGGGCUCAACCUGGGAACUGCAUCCAAAACUGGCGAGCUAGAGUAGGGCAGAGGGUGGUGGAAUUUCCUGUGUGGCGGUGAAAUGCGUAGAUAUAGGAAGGAACACCAGUGGCGAAGGCGACCACCUGGGCUCAUACUGACACUGAGGUGCGAAAGCGUGGGGAGCAAACAGG
rnacentral:rRNA from 1 species